CUGUAUAAAAUACAUAUGCCACAUUGCGUGAAAUAUUAUAUGUACGUGUGUCAACACGUAUAUAGUAUAUUAACGCAUAUGACGGUUCCGUGAUUAUGUUACACGCUCGUCGUAUAUCUAUAUUGGCGUCCGUUUAAAUAUUGUCUAACGACACACGUUGAUUAUAACUUUAUAUAUCAUACGACAAUGGUAGAGAUUAUUAUAAUGGUUGUCCAACGAUCGACGGUGUUACCGCUGAUCGCUUUUACCGCCUAAGGGCGGACGCUUUCCACUCUUCCAGUUGUCAGAAUGGUGUUUGUGUUGUGUAUAUGUAAUAAUAUCGCGCGCACACACGCACGCAUACAUACGAGAGGGUUGAUUGCGUGUUCGACACCGUUCACAUGUCGCGAGACGCAUAAACAUUAUCAAUCUCUAUAUAACUAUUGACGUAUACAAUAUGAUAUAUAAGACUCGAAUCAUCGACAGUAGGCGGACUCGACGUCCGAAGAGCGCAUCGACGCCGUCGUCGUUAUCGAUCGUUAUUAUUGUAAAAAAUGUAACGUGUCGUAGCGGUUGCGUCGUCGUAACGCUGACGGAUAUCGCGUCUGCCUCAUUUUUUUAUCGUUGGCCUCAGAUCAGGGAGGAUCACCCGCCGAAUUUAAGCAUAUUAGUAAGCGGAGGAAAAGAAACUAACUAGGAUUUCCUUAGUAGCGGCGAGCGAACAGGAAAGAAGCCCAGCACUGAAUCCCGCCGUUGUUCAGGCGGCGGGAGAUGUGGUGUUCGGGAGGUUCCGCUUUCUCGUCGCGAUCGCUCCUGUCCAAGUUCGUCUUGAACGGGGCCGUUUUCCCGUAGAGGGUGCCAGGCCCGUAGCGACGGAGGAUCGCGGCGAGAGGGACUCUCCUUAGAGUCGGGUUGCUUGAGAGUGCAGCCCUAAGUGGGUGGUAA
rnacentral:sRNA from 1 species